UGCAGGAUGUAAAUACCUAAGUUUGUCAUACGUAGUAAAAACCAGUUCAAAUCUCGUGUUUCUUUGUCAAUCCUCAGGCCUGUUUACAUGGAGAGGUGGCGAAUACCUUAAAUGUUACGAUCCUCGUGCCAAGUAGGAUAGAUUAGGAGAGGUGGUACAAAUGCAUGUAGAUACCAAGACUUGCAUGAUGUAAAUAUUUAAGUAUGUCAUACAUAGUAAAACCAGUUCAAAUCUGAAAGCUAUCUCAUGUUUCUUUGUCAAUCUUCAGGCCUGUUCACACGGAGAGGUGGUGAAUACCUUAAUUGGUACGAUCCUCAUGUCAAGUGAGACAUGAGAGAUGGUAUAAAUGCAUGUAGAUACCAAGCUUUGCAUGAUUCCCAAUAUUAUUGCACAUUCGGUAGCAAAGAUGUUGACACCACAUGUCGUCUGAUGAUGACUUUUACGGGAUCGAAUAAGGUUUGGUCAUUGUAUUCCCUGAAAGGAAUGAGAGGAGAAAAGAAACUGGAAGACCUGGCUAUCUGCAGGCCAAUGCUGGCUGCAGGUCAAUAUUGAAUGCUCUUAUGAAAACUCAUAAGACAAUAACAAAAAAAAGAAGCUGAGGAUGCUGUUUUUAAAACAUGCUCUAUUCAAAAAAGGUGGAUUGAAAUUUAAGAAAGGUGUGACGGGUGCGUCUGCUGCAGGCAGGAAGGAUUUGAUGGUCAGCCAGAGGAUUUGGAGAUAUACUGUAAUGUCUUUAAUGUGGACUUGCGUGUGAUUUAAGUUUUCACAAGGGUUUUAGUGUGUGUGAAAGUAUGUCAGUUUUCAAAAUUGAGCUAUGUCAAUUUGCUCAAACUACAUAACUCAAAGAACUUUGAAGCGGUCUUGUUGACGUCAUGAGCUUUUGUUUAAUACCAGUAUUGGUGAUAUAGGCCCAUGAUUAUAUACUGUAGAAAGUGAACAAGUUCACUGCUCGAUACAGAUAGUCAUAUAGCCUGAUCUCUGAAUGAUAUUUAUGAACCAAAAGAAGGCAUAAAAUAAAAACAUACAGUAGUGAUUUGAA
rnacentral:lncRNA from 1 species